ACAGUAGGAUAAUAUCAUGCGGGGGCGAGAUGUGUGCAUAUGCACGGGUGGUUGUGAAGGAGUGGAAAAAAAAAAAAAAGAGAAGAAAUUAAAAAAAAAAAAAAAAAAAAAACAACUAAAGGAGAAUGGUUAGUUACAUAGUUAUGUAUUUGUACAGGUGUUGUUGUGCUGUUUGGUAUUUAUUUGAUUAUUUGAUUAUUUUUUACAUUUUACACCUUAUACACCUCGCAUGUUCGCGUGUUUAUUCACAUCCAACAAUCCAUGAUACCACAGGGCUGGUGUGGGAGAUGUGAGUAUGCGUUGAAUAUCGGUUGAGAUGGGAAGGAAGGAGAGACGUGAGGAUGGCCGGAUAUCGACUGAGAUUGGA
rnacentral:sRNA from 1 species